UGGGGAAUAUUGCACAAUGGGCGCAAGCCUGAUGCAGCCAUGCCGCGUGUAUGAAGAAGGCCUUCGGGUUGUAAAGUACUUUCAGCGGGGAGGAAGGUGUUGUGGUUAAUAACCACAGCAACUGACGUUACCCGCAGAAGAAGCACCGGCUAACUCCGUGCCAGCAGCCGCGGUAAUACGGAGGGUGCAAGCGUUAAUCGGAAUUACUGGGCGUAAAGCGCACGCAGGCGGUCUGUCAAGUCGGAUGUGAAAUCCCCGGGCUCAACCUGGGAACUGCAUCCGAAACUGGCAGGCUUGAGUCUUGUAGAGGGGGGUAGAAUUCCAGGUGUAGCGGUGAAAUGCGUAGAGAUCUGGAGGAAUACCGGUGGCGAAGGCGGCCCCCUGGACAAAGACUGACGCUCAGGUGCGAAAGCGUGGGGAGCAAACA
rnacentral:rRNA from 1 species